rnacentral:rRNA from 55 species
AAUCAAGUGCCUUAAGGGUGUUCGGUGGAUGCCU